ACAUGAUUAAAGGCUGACUUUAGCGGGCUUUAACAUACAGACCACUCGGACCACAGUGUCUGGGAGCGUGUGUGGGAGGAUGCAGAUCGGAACCUGCUUAUGCUGCUCUCCAAACCCCACUGGGAAGAAUGACUAUGGCUCCAGCCCGUCCUCCCAGAGCUUCUUCAUUCCCCUUCUUUAGUGCUGGAGGGUCCUGAUGAGUGGCGACCUUCUCAGCGAGGACAGACAACCACACGGGUUCCUACUUCACGACCAGGGUCACCAUGGAAACAUUUCUCAUUGGAUCAGCUUAUUAUGCCAUAGAAAACAUCUGAUUGAAAUGGAACUCACUGACCUAAAGUUCCUGAAAGAAAAUUUUCUUGGUCAGUGACAGACAAGUUGACUGCUUCAGAAAAGUUGAAGAAGUCAGUCUUCCUUUGGGAUUUCUACUUUUAGUCUCAUGGAGAGCACUUUCCCAUCC